UCCCUUGAGGAGUGGCUUCCGGAGCUAACGCGUUAAGUCGACCGCCUGGGGAGUACGGCCGCAAGGUUAAAACUCAAAUGAAUUGACGGGGGCCCGCACAAGCGGUGGAGCAUGUGGUUUAAUUCGAUGCAACGCGAAGAACCUUACCUACUCUUGACAUCCACGGAAUUUGGCAGAGAUGCCUUAGUGCCUUCGGGAACCGUGAGACAGGUGCUGCAUGGCUGUCGUCAGCUCGUGUUGUGAAAUGUUGGGUUAAGUCCCGCAACGAGCGCAACCCUUAUCCUUUGUUGCCAGCGAUUCGGUCGGGAACUCAAAGGAGACUGCCGGUGAUAAACCGGAGGAAGGUGGGGAUGACGUCAAGUCAUCAUGGCCCUUACGAGUAGGGCUACACACGUGCUACAAUGGCGCAUACAAAGAGAAGCGACCUCGCGAGAGCAAGCGGACCUCACAAAGUGCGUCGUAGUCCGGAUCGGAGUCUGCAACUCGACUCCGUGAAGUCGGAAUCGCUAGUAAUCGUGGAUCAGAAUGCCACGGUGAAUACGUUCCCGGGCCUUGUACACACCGCCCGUCACACCAUGGGAGUGGGUUGCAAAAGAAGU
rnacentral:rRNA from 1 species